UACGGAGGGUGCAAGCGUUAUCCGGAUUCACUGGGUUUAAAGGGUGCGUAGGCGGGUUGGUAAGUCAGUGGUGAAAUCUUCAAGCUUAACUUGGAAACUGCCGUUGAUACUAUCAAUCUUGAAUGUUGUGGAGGUAAGCUGGAAUAUGUCAUGUAGCGGUGAAAUGCUUAGAUAUGACAUAGAACACCGAUAGCGAAGGCAGCUUGACUACACAAAAAUUGACGACUGAG
rnacentral:rRNA from 1 species